AAAAAACAAUAAAAAA
rnacentral:sRNA from 1 species